rnacentral:lncRNA from 1 species
CCCGGACUUGCCCCCCUCCAGGUGACCGAGAGCUGCGCUCCCGACCGCGCCUGAGCUGAUGGCUGGACCCCCUCGCCCCAUUUUACGGACGGAAAUACCGAGAGCAACAUUAUUCACAAUAGCCAAGACGUGGAAGCAACCCAAGUGCCCACUGAGUGAUGAACGGAUAAAGAAGAUGCGGCUAAGUACAGUAAGCCACAAUGAGCAGGGGCGGUAAAUGCUUGAGGAACAGGAAAGAAUAAGAGAGGCAGCGUUCACCUUGCCGGCCAGGGCCUGGUGCACCACUGUUUAAUUUCUACUUAAAAAGUGAGGCAGGAACUUGGUAGAGAAGUUUAGGCAAUACAAGGGGAAAGAGAAUGACAAGUUGGUCUUCCUCCAGGCCCACAGCCCACCACCGAGGCCCCAGGCCCCCAGUUACCCUUUCUGAUAAUAGGCCCUGGUACCAGACUCCCGGGAAUCCUUCUGGUAGGGUGGUCCACUCAUCCUGCUGUGCCCAGGACUUUGCCAGCUUUAGCAAUGAAAGCCGCGCAUCCUGAGAAACCCCACAGCGCCAGGCAAACGGGACAGUUGGUCCGCCUACCUUCCAGAGACAUCUAUUCGUCACACAGAAACAUACACAUAUACUAGCUGUGUUACUCAGCAUUUGGUGUUAUUUUCAUUAAAAGUACAUUUUGAAGAUCAUUCCAUAUCAGCUGUAUAUUCACUUAAGUAUUUAUGGAGUUACCUACCCUGCACUAG